rnacentral:rRNA from 1 species
AACGAACGCUGGCGGCAUGCCUAACACAUGCAAGUCGAACGAGACCUUCGGGUCUAGUGGCGCACGGGUGCGUAACGCGUGGGAACCUGCCCUUAGGUUCGGAAUAACUCCCCGAAAGGGGUGCUAAUACCGGAUAAUGUCUUCGGACCAAAGAUUUAUCGACGUUGGAUGGGCCCGCGUGGGAUUAGCUAGUUGGUAGGGUAAAAGCCUACCAAGGCGACGAUCCAUAGCUGGGCUGAGAGGAUGGUCAGCAACACUGAGACUGAGAGACGGCCGAGACUCUUACGGGAGGCAGCAGUGGGGAAUAUUGGACAAUGGGCUAAAGCCUGAUCCAGCACUGCCGCGUGAGUGAUGAAGGCCUUAGGGUUGUAAAGCGCUUUUACCCGGGAUGAUAAUGACAGUACCGGGAGAAUAAGCUCCGGCUAACUCCGUG